GGGUCAUAGACCUUUCUGAACUGCAGUAUCCCUGGCUGUAAAUACAUAAAGUUACAUAAACUUCCUCAUAAGCACUUUACUAGCAGUAACAAUCUAUGACUCCAAGACAGAUGAACGGCGACAGCCCUAACUGGCAAUGCCAAGAAAUCUCAGAAUAAACAAACAGCAUAUAAUUGUACGCUGAGAUUCUAGAGAUGGCCACACAAUGAGAGUCAUGCCUAGGCACUGAGAAAUGUGGACAGAGGAAAUACCCUGGUAUCUUCCACCUGAAGCAGCAGCCACCGCUGUCAGAACCCUCUGGGGAGGCUGUGAUCACCAAGAACCCAAGGGCUGGAGACGUUCCUUCUGACGGUGCUGAGAAAGUCCAGCUGCGGAGGAAAGGAGAGGGCCAGGCUAUUCAGAAAGCUUCCCAAGGAAUCCAAGCCUUCUCUCUCACAGGGAACAUAGCAGGACGAGGUCGAUCCACUGCCCGUUUCAAAAGACAGAAGGUGGAGCAUUAACCAAGAAGAUGCCAGGACCCAUCAACUUGCAUCAACUGUGAUGGUAACAGAAGAAAGAGCAAAUUCUGGCUGCAGGUCUGUCACCAAAUUGGGAGAAGGCAGAGUCAAAAUUGUGGUUCCAGCAAGACAGGGCUGCAAAGAAGCUCCUCCAGUUUGGAAGCAGAUGCUACAGCCCAGUGAGAUGGUGGUUGCGAGCACCCCAUGACUUCUGGACACAGAGUUGAAGAGGACAGGCAGUGAAGGAGCCAGCCACAUCCUCAGGGUAAAGAGCAAUGGAGACAGUCCUGACCUUGGUGCCAAAGAGGACAGCCUUCACCCAGGUCUGCAGCUACAGUGGAGCAGGAGCUGCCUGGGUCCUUUCCAAAUCCAGCUGAAUGGUCUAUGCACAGGGUGGAAUAUUAUACAGCUGCAAAGAGGAAUUGGGAUGGUGAUAUUCACUACAACACAGAUGGACUUUGGAAACACUAUGCUAAGUAAAAUAAGGCACACACAGAAGGACAAGUAUUGUGUGAUUCCACUUACAUAAGGCAUCUAGAGCAGGCAAAUGCCUAGAGGCAGAAAGUAGAAUAGAGGCGACCAGGGGCUGGGGGUGGAGGAGGAGGAGUUAUUGUUGAAUGGGUACAGAGUUUCUAUUUGGGAUGACAAAUUGCUUGGGUAUAGAUAAUGGUCAUGGGUACACAACGUGGUGAAUGUACUUAAUGCCAUUGACUCAUGCACUUCUGAAUAGUUAAAAUGAUUAAUACUAUGCAAUGGCUUUUUG
rnacentral:lncRNA from 10 species